AUCUAUGAAAUCGGCAGAUCCCACGCUUUCUGGGAAUCUGUUUCAUGCGAAGCAGUCAGCGAGUAAUUCUAUGCUGCAUUUUUUGGCUUUGAGCCAAGGGUUAUGAGAUGGAUCGACGUGUUUUUGU
rnacentral:lncRNA from 1 species